GCGGCCAUAGCUCAGCUGGUUAGAGCACAAGAUUGUGGAUCUUGGGGUCGCGGGUUCGAACCCCGUUGGCCGCCCCA
rnacentral:tRNA from 1 species